rnacentral:rRNA from 1 species
GACGAAGGUGGCGAGCGUUACUCGGAAUUACUAGGCGUAAAGCGUGGGCAGGCUGUUCGGUAAGUCUGUUGUGAAAGCUCCCGGCUCAACCGGGAGAGGCCAAUGGAUACUGCCGGGCUUGAAUCGGGGAGGGGUCACUGGAAUUCCUGGUGUAGCGGUGAAAUGCGUAGAUAUCAGGAGGAACACCAAUGGCGAAGGCAGGUGACUGGACCCGUAUUGACGCUCAUCCACGAAAGCUGGGGGAGCAAACAGG